GCCAUGGAGCACAAAGCCCAUGAGGAGCUCAACGGCCCGGGGGUCGAACUAAAAUGGGGGCCACAUCAAUUGGGGGAGAUGAUGGAAGGGAAAAGGCUCUAGGAUACAUCAAUUGUAAGUCAGUAUUCUCAGUGCCUCUGAUUUUUUUUCCCCUAAUUAUCGUGUAAUAAACUGUUGAGAAGUAGAUAGCCUGAUUGAUCUCUUUUUUAGAAUUCAUUAACAGAAUCUAUAAAAUGUCAUUUUUCUGUAGGUAAUCACUUAUCAAGUGUGUGAUUGAUGUCUUCUUUGGAAUUCAUGAGCAGAAUCAACAAACUGUCAUUUUUCUACAGGAAAUGACUUUUCAAGAGCCUGAUUGAUGUCUUCUUUGGAAUUCAUGAACAGAAUCUAUAAAUUGUCAUUUUUCUGCAGGAAGUCACUUAUCAAGAGCCUAAUUGAUGUCUUCUUAGGAAUUCAUGAACAGGAUUUGUAAAUUGUAAUUCUUGUGCAGGAAAUUACUUAUCAAGAGCAUGCUAAGGGAGAACCAGAGCAUCGGCUAAGUAAACAAAAUGGAUUGGGAUGGUGCUGUCACGGGUCACGACUAAACUAAAUAUGCAGGCCAAAGAAGUUAUACGAUCAACAGGAAGCAACAAUAAUCAGAGAUGGUAGAUGUAGAGAGUUUAGAGAUUCAAAAAAGAAACAAAACCUUAUCCGCAGCACCGAGGAAGAAAUCAAAUCCAAGCUAGUGUUUGAUCUAUUUUGGAUGGUGAAAACAUGCUCAGAUAGUUGGUCACUCUUGCAUCUGAAAAGAUGGAAAUUGAUGUUGGAGACAAGUGACGCCUUGACAAGCCUAAGCAUUGGAGUGAAAAGAAUCUAGGUGACACUAACUAGGCACCUAAGCGACGCCUAGACAACUUUGUUCUAUAUUUUUCUAUUUUUAUCUGUUACUUAUGCUCCUUUGAUUGUGGAUUGUUGACUAGUUAUUGUAUUAUAUAUUCCAGAUUCCUGAGGCAGGCAUUAAGAAAUGAUUCAAUUAGAUAUUACUGGAGUUGCUUUUA